rnacentral:rRNA from 1 species
AGUGGCGAACGGGAGAGUAACGCGUGGGAAACCUGCCCUUCAGCGGGGGACAACAGUUCUAACGAGCUGCUAAUACCGCAUACGAUCUAACUACCGCAUGGUGGUUUGAUGAAAGAUGGCCUCUACAUGUAAGCUGUCACUGAAGGAUGGUCCCGCGUCCCAUUAGCUUGUUGGUGGGGUAAAGGCCUACCAAGGCGACGAUGGGUAGCCGGCCUGAGAGGGUGUCCGGCCUCACUGGGACUGAGAUACGGCCCAGACUCCUACGGGAGGCAGCAGCCGAGAAGCUUCGGCAAUGGACGAAAGUCUGACCGAGCGACGCCGCGUGAGCGAUGAAGGCCUUCGGGUCGUAAAGCUCUGUCAGGAGGGAAUAAAUACCUAUGGUUAAUACCCAUGGGGGCUGAAGGUACCUCCAGAGGAAGCGCCGGCUAACUACGUGCCAGCAGCCGCGGUAAUACGUAGGGCGCAAACGUUGUUCGGAUUCACUGGGUAUAAAGGGUUCGUAGGCGGGCUAUUAAGUCAGAGGUGAAAGCCACCGGCUCAACCGGUGAAUUGCCUCUGAUACUGUUAGUCUUGAGUCCGUUAGGGGGUGGUGGAAUUCCUGGUGUAGCGGUGAAAUGCGUAAAUAUCAGGAGGAACACCAGUGGCGAAGGCGACCACCUGGGACGGUACUGACGCUGAGGAACGAAAGCAUGGGUAUCAAACGGGAUUAGAUACCCCGGUAGUCCAUGCUGUAAACGAUGGGCACUAGGUGUCGGAGGAGCUUACCCCUUCGGUGCCGCAGCUAACGCAUUAAGUGCCCCACCUGGGGAGUACGAUCGCAAG